CAUGUCUUUUUGUUUAUGAUUUAAAGUCUAAUCUGCUCCAUGAAUAAUUUAAAUAGCUGCAGUAAUUUAACUGUACAAAGGUAGCAUAAUCAAUAGUUUUUUAAUUAAAAGCUGGAAUGAAUGAUUUGAUAAGGUAAAUAUUGUCUCAAAUUUAAUAAUUGUAGAAUUUUAUUUUUAGUUAAAAUACUAAAUUAAAUUUAAAAGACGAGAAGACCCUAUAGAUUUUUAUAGUUUAUAUUUUAAUGUAAAUAAAUUUAAAUUUUACUAUAUGGUAUAAAUUAUUUGAUUGGGGUAAUUAUUAAAUUAAAAAAAUUUUAAUAUUUAAAAAACAAUAAUUAUUGAAUUAUUGAUCCUAUAAUUUUAGAUUAAAAGAAUAAAAUACCUUAGGGAUAACAGCGUAAUUUUUUUGAAGAGAUCUAAUCGAUAAAAAAGUUUGCGACCUCGAUGUUGAAUUAAGAUAAAAUUUUAAUGUAGAAGUUAAAAAUUUUUGGUCUGUUCGACCAUUAAAAUCUUACGUG
rnacentral:rRNA from 1 species